ACUAUUACUCAUGAUUGUAACUCAUUACAGAUCCUAAAACACAGGCUUCAAAGAGACACUCUUCGAAGUGACUUUUUUGUGUGGGGAAUCCUCUAUGCUGUUCUACCUGCAGGGGCAGGCUGCCCUCACGUGGUCAAAGUCAUGAAUUGCAGAUGCACAAACAUCUGCGAGCUCUCACCUGGUACCAACACCUGACAGUGGCACAUGGCAAGGCAAUCUGGAUAAGAGACGUGCAUCACCGUGGGCGACUUGAUCACAGCCCCUCGUGGCUACAUACCGACCUGGCAGUUUGAGGGGAGGAGCUCUCCGCCUGGCGGACUCCAAGGGGAGCAAGUCGCGGACCCUUUGCUGCCAUCAGGGGUUUGUGAAGUCUGCUCUCACCUACACCUCCAGCCUCACAGUGAUCCCUUCUGGUGCUCACUUUCGGUCCUCAGACCCACCUCCAGAAACAGCCUUGGCAGAUGCUGAUCUCCAUCUGAACGCUGUGUCUUUCUGCCCCACCCCUCACCCACAUAACUUCUACUCAUUCCUCAGCUGUCAGCCCAAACCUCCUUAGGUAAGUUCUAGUCUAGGUCAGGUUCCCUUGAUAAAUGCUCUCAAAGAGCCAGACUUAUUUUUCAGAGCACUUUUCUCAGUUUAUAAUUAAGCAUUCAUCUGUGGGAUUAUUUCAUUAACAUUCAUCUCUGAUGAUAUUGUAUAGGAGAGAGAAGUGGAGCACCUUUCUCUUGUAUCCUUGGCACCGAGCUCAAUUUGGGUGAAUGGGGCAUUUCAGGAUAGGAGAGAUCUGGGGGUUGUGAGGAGUGCUGAGGCAUGCGGAACUUAUGUGGGACUUGUCCUCAACAAGGAGAAGCAUGGAAGUCAGGCUCACUUAUGUCAACAUGCCACUGUCCCCCACUCUACCCCAUCUCACCCCUACUU